rnacentral:rRNA from 1 species
CAAAUUUGAAAGCUGGCCUUUUUGGUCCGCGUUGUAAUCUCGAGAAGUGUUUUCCGUGUUGGACCGCGUACAAGUCCCUUGGAAUAGGGCGUCGUAGAGGGUGAGAAUCCCGUACUUGACGUGGCAGCCAAUGCUUUGUGAUACACUCUCCACGAGUCGAGUUGUUUGGGAAUGCAGCUCAAAAUGGGUGGUAAAUUCCAUCUAAAGCUAAAUAUUGGGGAGAGACCGAUAGCGAACAAGUACCGUGAGGGAAAGAUGAAAAGCACUUUGGAAAGAGAGUUAAACAGUACGUGAAAUUGUCGAAAGGGAAGCGCUUGAAGUCAGCUAUGCUGUUCGGGAUUCAGCCUUGCUUUUUGCUUGGUGUAUUUCCCGGCGUGCAGGCCAGCAUCGGUUUCGGCUGCCGGAUAAGGGUAGAAGGAAUGUAGCACCCUCGGGUGUGUUAUAGCCUUUUACUGGAUACGGU